rnacentral:rRNA from 1 species
UCUUGGUGGCAAGGCGAUGGGGGUACACCCGUUCCCAUCCCGAACACGGAAGUUAAGCCCAUUAGCGUCGAUGGUACUUGGGCCUGAGCCCUGGAAGAGUAGACCGUCGCCAAGAC